UGAAAUGAUGAUUAAACUUUUAAUAUUAUAACUUUCGUUCUACUGACUGCGAUCAAACGAUCUUGUAGAAAACUUUUAUUUGCUGAUU
rnacentral:snoRNA from 11 species